rnacentral:rRNA from 1 species
AUGGAUCACACGGUAGAGGCCUCCAUGAACGCCACCCUGCUGAGCCUUCUCGGCGUCACGGGCAAGUCGGAGAAGGGUGCGGCGGCGACGGACGACAAGGUGGAGUGGCUCCGGUCGCAGCUGAUCGGCAAGGACGUCGAGUUCGACACGCCGUUCGGGCGCCGUGCGCUGACUUACGCCGACCAAACGGCGUCCGGCCGGAGCCUGAGCUACAUCGAGGACUAUCUCGUGAAACAGGUCCUCCCGUUCUACGGAAACACGCACACGGAUGACAGCCACGUCGGGAGCAACACGACGCGGCUGGUGCACAAGGCGGCGCGCUACAUCAAGCGCUGCAUGGGUGCCGGCCCCGGCGACGCGCUCAUCUUCUGCGGCGCCGGCACGACCGCGGCCAUCAAGCGCCUGCAGGAGAUCAUCGGCGUGGCAUUGCCGUCCAUUGAGAUGCGCAACCGGCUUUCGGCGCAACUGCGUGCCGAGGAGCGAUGGGUGGUCUUCGUCGGGCCGUACGAGCACCACUCCAACCUUCUGUCGUGGCGCCAGAGCCUGGCGGAGGUGGUUGAGAUCGGCGUCGACGCCAAUGGACUCGUCGACGUCGCUGCGCUCCGCCGCGCGCUCGGAUCGCCAGAGUACGCGGAUCGACCCAUGCUGGGAUCUUUCUCGGCGUGCAGCAACGUCACCGGCGUCAUGACGGAUACGCGCGAGAUCGCCCGCGUUCUUCACCAGCACGGCGCGUUCGCAUGCUUCGACUUCGCCGCGAGUGGACCCUAUGUCAAGAUCGAUAUGAAGUCUGGUGAAACCGAUGGGUAUGAUGCCGUUUUCUUGAGCCCUCACAAAUUUGUCGGAGGACCGGGCACACCGGGCAUCCUUCUCAUGAACAAAUCAUUGUAUAAGCUCCAUUCCCAGCCUCCCUCAACGUGCGGAGGCGGCACAGUGGCCUAUGUCAAUGGCUUCAAUGAGGAGGACACACUAUACUACGACGAUAUCGAGGAGCGUGAGGAUGCUGGCACACCGCCGAUACUACAAAAGAUCCGUGCAUCGCUUGCGUUCUGGGUGAAGGAGUAUGUUGGGUAUGACACGAUGGACCUUCGCGAGCGAGUGUUCUCAGAGAUGGCAAUGAAAAGGCUUGUCAAUAAUCCAAAUGUUAGGGUGCUAGGCAACACAAGUGCCCAUCGUAUACCAAUCUUCUCAUUCCUAAUCUACCCAUCAGUAACCGUGAAGAAGCCAUUUGAUGAUUUUGAUGAGCCUGGUUGUGAUAAACAAUUGGAUACGAUGAGGCACAAGCAACUACCCCUCCAUGGUCGUUUUGUGACUAGGCUUUUGAAUGAUCUUUUCGGCAUCCAGGCGAGGGGAGGUUGUGCUUGCGCAGGUCCCUAUGGCCACACAUUGCUCAAUGUCGAGAACGAACUCUCACUUCGCAUUCGGUCCGCUGUCCUUGAGGGUUACAGUGGACUGAAGCCAGGAUGGACCAGAUUGAGCUUUAGUUACUACCUCUCCAAGGAGGAGUUUAAAUUUAUCCUUUCCGCCAUCGAGUUCAUAGCGACAUACGGACACCGCUUCCUCGCUUUGUACAAAUUCGACUGGAUCACUGGCAACUGGACCUUUAGGAAACAGGCAGUCAAGUACCACAUCAUGAGGGAGGAAUUAUCUCUUGGCAUAGAACCAUUGAAACAAAAUAAGGACCAGCCAAAGCUUGCGGAUAUGAUGGAUAAGCCCGUUGUCAAUCAUAAGAAGUUUCAGAGCUACUUAGAGAGUGCCAAUAAAAUUGCACUCUCCAUGUCGGACAUUAGUAAUCAGAUUGCCAGCGUUCCAAAAGGAGUAGACCCUGACUUGGUUCUUUUCCAUAUAUAG